rnacentral:rRNA from 1 species
CGGCGGACGGGUGAGUAAUGCCUAGGAAUCUGCCUGGUAGUGGGGGACAACGUUUCGAAAGGAACGCUAAUACCGCAUACGUCCUACGGGAGAAAGCAGGGGACCUUCGGGCCUUGCGCUAUCAGAUGAGCCUAGGUCGGAUUAGCUAGUUGGUGAGGUAAUGGCUCACCAAGGCGACGAUCCGUAACUGGUCUGAGAGGAUGAUCAGUCACACUGGAACUGAGACACGGUCCAGACUCCUACGGGAGGCGGCAGAA